UGCAGGCUACAUACAGUCUUUGUCACAUAUUCUUCUUUUUUUAAAACAAUGCUUUAAAAAUGUAAAAAUCACUCACUGGGAGCUAAGGAGGAGGUGGUGGGAGAGAAGCAGUGUAUAAAACUGAGGCCAGAGGCCCUCAGGUUAUAAUUUGCCUACGCCUGUAUGACAUCACAGUGGGACAGACUGACGAAACAUGAUUUUGCUAUGCAAGCUUUGGGAAAUCAUUACGGGCUGGUUGAUUGAUUUCCCAUUCCUGAGUCAUUCUUUUGGUGAUGGGGAGAUGAAUGGCUCAAGUCACCACCAACCCUCCUUUGUAGCCAUAUCGUUAUGGAGUAAACUUGAGUUACUCCAAAACAGAAAAAACAAACAAGAGGAUCAAAGUGUACGUCUCUGCUGGAACAAACAGAAGCGGAGAGGCAGGGAGAAGACUGAGCUCUCGGCGGAUUUUGCUGAAAUGUUCUAUUUGUGUAGCAGUGAUUUGUACCGGCGUGGUUGCCAACGACUUCGGUCCCCACCCAGUACAACUUCAGCACGGGUGCCCUAAAAAAGGAAACCUGUUUCCCUCCUCCCAAGUUUCUGGUUUCUCCACCCAGUCUCCCCACAGCCCUCUGCUCCCGCACCCAGGCCUUCCGGCCUCCGCCCAGCCUCGGAGCGGCGCCCGACAUUCCAGCUUCCACUUUGAUCCUUACAAAUGAAAAGGCACGGCUGGCCGUGGAGUGUUCGGCCGUGAACGAAGCUGCGGGACAGAGGCAGCGCCAUCUCAGUCCGUCUGUCCGUCAGUCCAGGAGGAGCAGGCCGCGCGGGUGCUCCGGGAGCUGCGGCGCCACGCUGCCCGCAGGCUGCACGGGGAGCCCACUGGCAGGCCUGGGCUGUCACUUCCCGCCUCUGCCCUCCCCAGCUUGCCCUUGACAGCUCUCUUCUUUGAUCUGUAAAAUGGGAGACAAUAGGAGACACUUUGAUAUUCUUCAAAAGCUGCGGGGAUUUGCUGUUUUCUCCCGAAAUAAAGGGCUUGUAGAGAGUUUCUUUGAGAACUGGAAGGAACAUGCUGUCACAUGUAAUCUAACGAGCUCGGCCUCCUCUUCCAGUGCCCAUUAAUCAAUCAUCCAACACUGGAAACCUGUGGCAAGGCUUCUGUGUGCUGUGGAGAAGCAAGGGCAUGGUCUCUGCUUUUAAAGCAUUUAUGGGCUAGCUGGGGAGAUGAACUGUGUAUAUAUGAGCAUAAAACAUGACAAUAGCCAACAUUUAUGGAGUACGCCCCGUGUGCCAGGCUCAGUGUGGCGCUCUCCUUUACUCCUCUGACACCCCAUCAAGUAUGUGCUGUGUUAUCAUCUCCAUUUUAUAGACUUUUUAGCAGGAUCACUUGCCCUCCGGGUCACACAGUGUGCGGGCAAGUCAGACUGUGCAUACAGGCCUGGCUGACUGCAGAGGAAGGAGCUGCGUUUGCAAGCUCGAAUCUGUGCAGCGUUCAGUGAAGGGAUCGUCCAUCAUAGGCACUCAGUAGACAUGCUGACUAGUUGAUUUCGCGUGAAGUGGCCUUUUCCUUGACGAUGUAGAGCAAGACCCCUUCAUGUCGGUGGCAUAUAAUCUCCAAAUCACAUUGUGAGAUUAGUUCCUGAUGUUUAACUGAGCUCACAGAAACAAGAUGGAAGGUUUAUCAAUGAGUUGCCUCUAGGAAACACCUGAUAAGGACCUGAUUUUGAUGAUCGGAUCCUGUACUUCCAGCCUGAGCCUAAGCCAGAGCCUGACGCCAUAGUGGACAGUCCGGGGAAGGAAUGAGUAUAUUUUUCAUGUGAGAGGCGUGGUAGCAUUUGUGGCCAGAGGGAUAGCUGUGGCAGUUUUAAAACACAGCUGCAAAUUCAUUGAGACAUGGGGUCGUGUCCACUUUCCUUGAAUCUGGGUGGACUUACGGCUGCUUUGAAAAAUAGAGUAUGACAGAAAUGAUGCUGUGUGACUUCCAAGGCUAGGUGAUAUAAGACCUGGCAGUUUCUUCUUGGUUCACUGCAAUACUUGCUCUGGAACCCUGAACUGCCAAGCCUUGAAGUGUCCACUGUGGCCACUUCGCAUUGCCAAGCAAGAGGUGACCACUCAGAGACCAUCGUCCUGGAGAGUCCUCUCAUAAGGGUUCUGGUCAACAACUCCUGCUGAGUCCACCCUUCCGGUCAUCCCUGCCAAGGUGUAAGACUUGGUAGUGAAGCAGUUGUGGACCCUUCAGACAAGCCCAGCUGCUCGUUAAAUACCCUUGGAUUACUUACCUUAACACCACGUGGAACAGACGAAUCACCCAGCUGAGCCCUGCCCAAAUUACAGACCCAAACUGUGAGAGAUGAUGAAAUGGUUGUUCUAAGCCACUGAGUUUUGAGGCAGUUUGUUAUGCAGAAAUGGGUGCAUUCCUCCUAGUUUGGCUACCAAGAAAAGAUUUCUCACUGUGUUUUACCUGCUGCAAAAUUGGGAAUUCCAGAAAUCUCACAGUGUCCAGAUGAAUUUUCUUUCUGAAUCUGGGAUGCAGCACCCUUUUUUGAAAGACAAAGAGAGGAUUUUGCUGAGAUUUCAUUGAAGAUCUUGACUAUGAACCAAAACUUCUUUGCUUGUGGAGUGGAGAGAAAAGUGAAGGUAGCAUUUUCUUUCCUAUCUCUCAAAUUCCAACUGUGAAGAGUGAGACAGAGGCGUCUAUGUGGAGCCAUUGGGCUGAAGAUUUUCAUCAACAGCAUUAGCCGUAUGAACUGGGUAUUCAGGUUUCCUUCCACGUUUUCCUGUUUGUAUUUUGGCUCUACACUUAAGUUUUUCCCUGUCCAUAUUGUACUUUGUUCUUUCAUUUUGUCUUAUUAACUUUGUUUAAGUCCUGUUGGUUUAGCUCUUCCGGUGGUUGACUCAUUCUUGACACUGGUUUUGGCCAUCAUUUUAAAACUCUCCUAAUAUUGAAGGCAAAUGCAGCUACAACUUAGAUGACAAAUGGCAGAGUAUUUCACAUAAGUAGGCCUGGUAGAUAUCUGUUGUUGAGAAUUUAAUAAAAUUACCUGUAAUCGUAUUGGCAAAGCAGUUUCUUAGGGCCAUCUGCUUAUUUAUGAAAAUGAUUUUUUAAAAUAUAUUGAACCAAAUGGUUUUCAAGUAGGAUUUCACCUCUUUUGGCCUAUUUUCCUUAACUCUAAGGUAUAUUUUGUAUUAUCUGUGUACCCUAACCCCAUAUCAUCCUAGGAUAGGAUCCCCCAGAGUAGAGAUAUCUCCUUUACUAAAUCACUCUGCCCAUUUUUCUGUUUGUUAAAAAAAAAAAAUCACUGUUUUUAUUAGAAUGUUAAAUGAGUAGUCACUUUAUACCUGCCUCUGUAGAAGACAUUUAGGUAUGGACCUGAAUCAAAGAAAAGAAUGGUCCUGUGUUCAUGGGGAUUAAUGUCAUUAAUGAUAUUUUCUUCUCUUAAACUUUUAUUUUCCCCCAAACAGAAUAUGAUGGACACCAUUAUGGUGACAAUGAAGAGGAAAACAGCAACUUGUCAAUUCCCCACUCGGGGCAGUCAGAGGUCUCCAGAGAGGGGACAAGGGCAAGGAAGAAACUGAAGAUGCAGUCCGCUCCGACUUAUUUAACAGGCCAGCUUGAACAGGGCACUAGAUAAGCGAGUGUCACAAUUCCUGGUCCGUGGUUUUUUUAAUGCCAACCAUUUAUUUGAACAGAGGGCAAUUUGGGUAGGCAGCUACAUGAUUUAUUGCCAUGCUGACCUGAUCAGGGACUGCGAGGAGAAGAGCAGUAGUUCUGAGGUGUCCCAGAAGUUCUCAGACCUGCAUGGAUUUUGAUGGUUGAAUUUACAUAUUUCUGCAUAGCCAUAAAACACUCCUUCCUUUGUUCCUACUCAAGAUUCCGCCCAGGUCCCUGCCCAGUCCCUCCCUGAGGCAAUCUUAGGGAGCUGCCUAUCAGAGAACCUCAAUGGGAUCACGUUGUGGGGUCCUUUCAUUAUCGUAUAAUUAUACCCUGGGAGGCCCGGUGGUCCCUUUACGUUUCAGCUCUCUGGUGACAUUUCAUGUUAAGUUCAACUGUGUGCUUCUCACUGUCCUUGUACUUUUGGUUCUGGUUUUUGAUGGAGGCCCAUUUUUCUUAGAAUAUUUUUUACUUUCAUUUUCUUGUUUCUAAAGCAGUAUGACACCUACUUUCUAUUACUUGUUAUUCUCCAUCAACGUCACUUAACAAGAAAGCUAAAAAUUAAUGUAUGCUUUAUAUAUUUAGUUUGUGUGUUGACAAAUAAAAAUGGCAAACAAUAGGAUAUAUUGGAGAAUAUGAGGAAGCCAUUUGGUAUAAACCUAAUCCCCGCCCUGUCUUUCCAAAAGGGCCUGACGGGCUGUUGAGCAUGCAUUGUCUAUCUGCUUUAGAUAUUCCCUAUGGCAAGAACAAACGCCCUUGAGAUAAAGGUGCAACUUCCCUCCCACUCCCAAGUUGGCAUUCCCUUAAGGAUUAAGCAUCUUUCCUUAGGCUAGGAACUGAUUGCUGCGCUCACCUGUGACCACCCAGCUCGAGACAAUAGGCGUGCCUCCUGCUAUGCCCGCUGAGAUAGCAGACCCACUACCUGCUGUGUCCAUCAAGUGCUGUGCCGACAGGGCAAUCUUGUGACUAUUGUGGGAGGGACAUUUCAAUCAUAUGUGAAACGUCCUGGUUGGGGGUAUACAACCACUCUGUAUACCUCACUUCUUUUGUGCCCUUUCUUCUGGAAGAAAGGCCCUGGGCCAUGGUCCUCAGAUUUCAGCUGAGAAUAAACUCACCGAAAUUUUCAUUUAUAGAUUGGUUAUGGAUUAUUUUCACUGACAGUGUCUUUUUUCUUUUACACGUAUUUAAUGGAGCAGAUAGGCGAAGUAAGAAUUGGGCUGGAAAAUAACCAUAGGACGUAGAGAAUUUUUAAGGUGAGAAGAGGUUUACAGAAAAGAAAGUUGAAAGAAGAAUGCCAGAGUGGAGGUGGAGAGAAUUGUUACCAGCCAACAAAUGCUUUGGUGUUAUAACACGUACAACCUAUGCUUUGCCAGGACAGGCCCUCUUAAAGGAAGAUCAUCAAGAAAAUUUUUGACAGGGAGUGUAGUGAUGAGUUGACUGUCAUAAACCCUUGUCGUCUAUGGCAUGAUGCUCAAUGUACAAGGAUGCUUUGGGUAUUCUAGGGUCUAUCCAUUGAGAACACUUCACCAUCCCAGUAGGGCUGAAGGUUGAGGACCACAGCAUUGAGCCUCGGUUAUUCACAAGGAUGAAAUUUCUGCCUUUGGAUGAUGAACUGUGCCGUUGUUUCAAGUCAUAUACAGAAAUGAUUGAGAACGGCCAUGUGACUUGUUGAGCCCAGGGGGAUAUGCCAGCUCUAAGAAGAAGUGCUUUCACUUCUGGCCCCUACCAUGAGAAAAGCAUGUGUGACACGGCACUACUCCUUCACACUGGAUCCUGGAGUGAGAAGACGAAUGAAGCAGACGCCAUUGACCCACAGCCUACAACAGAGCUACAGCCAGCCAACAGUCCUCAUUUACCAUGAGUAGUACUUGAACCACAGGAAUGUGCGGUGCAAGAAAAUGCCAAGAUCAGGAUCCUGGGGAACAUUAACGCUUCAGGAACUGCCAGCGAAGCAGACUUAGAAGGACUGCUCAGAGAGCUGCUCUUCUCCGGUGAACAAGUCUCCUUUGUGAUGGACUGAGGAGCUCCCUUCUCUGUCAGAGGCACUGUGGUUUUCCACUCACCAGAGAGAUCGGAAGAGGUCCUGUGCAGCCUGCAAGGUGAAGAAGGAAAUGUUUUGUUAUGACUUUAAAGACUUCCUGCUGGAUGUCCAGAUCCUUGGGAAAGUAAAACUGAAUAUAGAAAGAACAUUGCUAAUCAAAUCAACAAAUUGCUUGCAAGGGUAAGAAAUGACAGAAUCAACAUUCCACUGGGUCGCCAGCAAUGCCUCAAGACUGAUGUCAGUGAACUCAUUUGAUGGUUUGCUUUAAAAUUACGGUCAUCAUUCAGUUUUAUUUUUAUCUAGGCUGAUUGCAGAUUAGUGUAUUUGGAGAAAGGAUUAAGUAUUUUACCUGCUUGCAUCAGAACUACGUAAAGAGAACUCCUGGACAAUAUCAGGUAAUAGAUAAUUAGUUUGGCAACUGACCAGAAUGAAGUCCAGGCAGGAGUAUUUUAUUGCUCACUAACACAAGUGAGCAUUCAGCUUUUGGGUCAACUCAGAUACCUGAAAAACAGCUACUCUGGCACAUUUACAACCUGGUGAACAAAUUUAUGCAAUUUUACGUCCCUCUGCUGAUUUACCUGGAAAGACCAUUAUGUAAGAUAAUGAAUUUAACAGAUGAAAAUCGGUAAAUGCUUUUGCACGCUGUCACUUUAUAUUAUAAGGGAAGAUUUGGCGUUUUCUCACUUAGGCUUGUCCAUCCUCAUGUGAUCUCCAUAUUAGAGAUGUGGCCCUCCUUUUGGAUAGAAAAUUUCCCUUGAUUAAUUUUCCCUUGGAUAUUGUACUUGUUUAACCAGAGUAUUUCUAACCUGAGUCAAGUGCGUGUAUUAGCCAGGCAUCUUCAAAU
rnacentral:lncRNA from 1 species